GCGGAUAUAUUUUCCUUUGUAGACUUUAUCAAUGAAAACAACCUGAGAAAAAACUUGAAUGACAAUCAAUAACUAAUUCUGAUUGGUCGUUAUUUUUAAAGAGGCGGGGUUUUACGGUACUUGUAUCCAGGCAGUAAAUAAGGAUUUGAACAAGAAUAAACUUGUCAGUUUGAACGUGAACAAAUGUAUAACAUGUCCCAAGAAAUAUAAUAAAAACGGAAAAUUGGAUCAUUAUUUCAUCAGUUGAUAGUUUGGAUUAUAUCGAGCAACAGUAAACAUAACAUAUAGACGGAUAUAUUUCAUUCAUUUGGAUAAAUACAACAUGAAGUUGAAAGCUAUCUCUGCAAUUGUGGUUACAUUAUUUGCAUGUGCUUGUGCACGACCAUCUUGCAGUUUCAACCAAUAUUACAGCGUCAAUGAAGCACAGUGCAAUAAAUGUACGGCAUGCCCGAUUAACAAUAUAAUACUUGAACCUUGUGGAAAAUAUACAGACACCCAAUGCGGACGUUGGAAAGACUGGACAUUCAACUUCAAACAGAAAUCCAACAUAGAACUAAAGUCUACCGAAUCCAAAGUCGAAGAAAGCAACAAAAGUACGGAAAGCUUUGAUAGCCACCACUGGUUUACCAUAGCAAUGGUUCUUUUAGGAAUACUUUGUUUUCUGUGUGUCUGCUUUGCUGGUUACGUCAUUGUUGCCUGUUUUGUUUGGAAAAGAAAAGACAAAGAAAUAAUAUACAACCCAGUGUAUGUAGACAGACCGCAACCAGAAGAACCACGAUAUGUAGAAAUGGUGACAUCUUCACGUGACAGACUAAAACAGCACGUUCCGUCCCGUAUUGAUACCGGAAGCUGGUCAACAUUCCAAAGCACUUCCGCCUUGCCUCUUCUUCAGUCUCAAAACUCUGAAAAUAUAUAUGUGAACUGUAUGGAUUAUCCUACGACUAAAAGUAAAGAUACACAUGAUUAUGUUUAUUUGGAAUCGAACUGAAAAAUAGAAUCAAACUCGUGCCUUAUCUGUGAUAUAAUAACUUAAACUAUGGUACGUGCAUUCGUGCACGUUCUAAGAAACUUUCUAGUCAGAAAAAAAAUGGAUUUUGGGAAAGAAAAAAGAAUAUACAUUCCUUUAAAGCCAGUAUAAAAAGGAAAAGAAGAAGAAAAACAGCAAACUGUACAGAACGUUUGACAACCUUUCUCUGCAUGAUAAGGAUUUUUGAAGUGGAGAAGGAAAUGUGCAUAACAAGAAUAUUUUGACUACGUAACCAUGAAGUGCCGAAUAUAUACUCAGGAAAAACACACAUUGACAUUAUGGAAAUUCUCUCUCAUGUCAGAUCUAUUUCCUUAUUUAUUUAAUAUUGACAUAAUGAUAUUAUUUUAUAGUAAUUUAUUUGUAUUUAUUUGUUGUUUAUUUUGUUGUAAAUCAAUAAAAUUAUGAAAUGAU